rnacentral:rRNA from 1 species
UACGAAGGGGGCUAGCGUUGCUCGGAAUCACUGGGCGUAAAGGGUGCGUAGGCGGGUCUUUAAGUCAGGGGUGAAAUCCUGGAGCUCAACUCCAGAACUGCCUUUGAUACUGAGGAUCUUGAGUAUGGGAGAGGUGAGUGGAACUGCGAGUGUAGAGGUGAAAUUCGUAGAUAUUCGCAAGAACACCCAGUGGCGAAGGCGGCUCACUGGCCCAUUACUGACGCUGAGGCACGAAAGCGUGGGGAGCAAACAGGG